rnacentral:rRNA from 1 species
GGUCUGUUCGCCCUUUAAAAUCUAACAUGAGCUGAGUUCAGAACGGCGUGAGCUAGUUCAGUUUCUAUCCUCUUUUAAAAAUAAGCUAAUUUUGUACGAAAGGACUUUUUCGCUAAAGUAAUGCUUUGGCCCAGCCCUAUAAUUACACAAAUAUUGGUAAAUGACGAGCUGAUCAACUCAUAAAAAGGGCUG